rnacentral:lncRNA from 1 species
UUUAAAGCGCUUUUUGUGAAAGCGAUGUAAAAGGCUUGCGUUUUCCUCUACUAUGCGAACCCUUAUUUCCUCUAUUGUGCGCCCAUCUACUGCUCCUCCUUUAAAACAAAUUGGAUACAUUGUUUCAGGUAUGUAUUGUAUUUAUUAAUUUUUUGUUGUCACUAAAACUGAUAAUUUGUUACAUAACAACCACAUGAAAUUGAUUCAAUUGAUUAUGAUUUAUAUCUUAGAGAUGAUCAUGAUGAGAGAAUUCGGAUUAAUCCAUCGUUUCG